ACGACUUCAGAUAUAAACAGCAUGAACAGACAAACUGUUCAAAAGCAAAAUUUCUGUUGGUAAUUGCUUUUAGCAAUUUUAAAAAAGGAGAAGAAAAUUACAUGACAUACUUGCCAAGGUGUCUGCAAGCAGAAUGUUUGUCUCCAGCAUUACCAGCCAAAGUUGUGUAGAUGCUUCAUUAAAAAUGUAGAAAAAGCAAUAUAAAUAUUUUGUAUAUGAAACCACAGCUAAUAUUAAAGAGUUUAACUGUUAUUGCACAGCUCACUGCUAGGGGUAAUCAGCUAGACUUUCUCCUCGCGGCUGAGCACUCCAAGUAGGGCCCCCAGCCCCCUGCUCAAUACAGACGUGCUCUGAGGUAGAACAGGCAGGACAUGAGUCACCCCUUUCCUUAUACCCUGCUACCAGUGGUAAGCUCUUUGAGGUCACUUGAGCUAAAUUAUGUAUCCUCUUGUGUACACGAAAAGGAAGGAUACUGAUGCCUGGUUCAGAAGCAUCAAAUCCAACUGAAAGCCGUGGGAGUUCAGGGGCUGGGCUCAGCGGAGGGUUUUGAAGAGCCUCCUUUGAGGUGUAAAAGGGUAUUUAUCCAGAAUUAUGUGCCUAUGGGAUUCAGGAGGGUUCAGAAAGAUCCUGUACAGCUCUCAACAUGCCUAAACUCAUCAGCGUUUCUCUUUUGGCCUGCACCCUCCUGGUGCUGUCAGCUCUCCUCACUCACCUCUGCGAGGGCAAAUAACGCACUUUCUGCUGACGCCCUGCUAGGGCCAGGGGUUUAGGGUUUCUCUCCGGAUCUUGUCCCGUGCAAUUUGUCUUUGGUAACGCAGAUAAAGCAGGAAACUGUAUCCAGAAAUACAGCAGCUAGUGAUUUGGGGAUUCUCCAUUUUGAGUCCUGAAAGUCAGUAAUCAGUGAUCACAAGGGAGAAGAAAGCUUGGGUCUCUCCACAGGAAAGUGGCAGUCCUUAGCAGUCCACCACUUAUGCAGUCCUCUAGACAAACUAAACUGGAAGGGGGGCAGGGAGAGUGCUCCCUGUUUCAAAGGAUUUUCUAUUUUCUCAUCUCCUUCUUUCCUUUCUAUUGUUCUGCCUGAUUUUCGCUGUUCUCUGUAAUGGCAUUUCCUUAAGGUCAAUCUAUUGUUAUUUAGGAGUGUGAUAGAGGUAAGUCAGGCUGAGUCAUGCAAUAUUUGCCAACUCCACACCUUUCAGCAUUCUGCUGCAGAGAAUGGAGAUUUGCCCUUGCUGUCAUUGCUCAACAUUUUCCUCCCUUCCUGACACAUUACAGGUGCCAAGGAUGCAGCUUUCAGGGCUAACCACAGCUGUGUUCUACUAAGAAAAAAACCCAACACUAUGGAAGAUGAAUUCAUGGUGGGAAGACUCACACUGGAGUAAAUGUAUUAACAUUCGAUACUGUACUCUGCAAGAAAAUCCAGUGACUACAUUAGGGAUAUUCAUGAUAUGAGAUAUAAAACAUCAUGGUUUUCAAAAUAUGUCCCUAAUUUGGCAUGUUCAGAUAAAUGAGGAGAACAAAUUAUACAGCCUUUGCUUUUUGCAAGUAUUCAGAAAGAAAUGUGAUGAAGAACAAGUUUGUUCAAGACCUGUUUUUCAGAUCUGCAUUGACUUCUACCCACAUCAAUCAGUCCUUGUCAGGGAAAGUAAAUGUUUCACAGACUGGAUCAAACACUGGUUAAUAAGUUAUUUGAGAAUCAAUCUAUAUUUAUCCAGGUUCUGCCUGUUAAUACACAUUGUGGAUUAUUUCCGCUUCUAACUCCUCUACGUUUCUCUGUGGGUUUAUCAUUGAGUAUUCCAAAAGCAGAGUGGUAAAAUGCUCUAGUUGAAAAACAAAACAGACUGGAAAAAGAAAAAUGCAAUAGAUCUGGAAAGCUCAUUUGAAAUUUAUGAGGGAUUUGAAUUUGAAUAUCUGAAUUUGCCAGCCCACAAAGGAAGAAAGUAGGAGGCUGGGAGUGAAGAAGUUUCCUGUGGUUCUUCCUUUAUAAAAAGCGACAAAGGAAGGAACUCUGUACUCAGGCAGACUUUGUAAAGCUGUUCAGUCUGUGCCUAUAUCAAGACUGCUGUCAGGAUGGUGAUAGAGCUCAGGAAAGCUUUCUGGGCAUUAACUUGUCUUGCUCUUACCUCUGUUCACACAUCCACAGCAUAAGGACCCUGUCCACUGACCUGCAGCUUCCAAAAAACAGAUAGGUUUGGUACACUGUAUGUUCAAAUAAAUUGUAAGAUCUUUUCUCACAGGAUGCAGAGUUUAGCAGUCUCUUUCAGUAUUUGCUACUGGAGGUAACUGUAUAUAAUGCAUCCAAGACAGUUUUGCAUAAACCAGGGGUUCUCCGUUUCCAUAAUGUGGAUCACAUCCAAACAGAGGGACUCCUCUUUAGUCUCAAAUACCACACUCAGUCUUAUGGGCAAAUAACAAUCCUACAACAGCAUUUUUUUUACAAGGACUUUUGAUAUCUUUUCACAAUAAUAAGGUAAAAACCAGGCAAUAAUACUUAGAACAAGGCAAUCCAACAGACGGUUUCCUACAGAACACAGAAGUGCUGACUACUGUGUAAAUUGUUCAUGGUCUGUGGACCAUGAAUCAUUGCAUCCUUCAUAAAAAUAGACCUUGGAAACCUACUUAUCUGAAUACAAUUGGUACGUGCAAAUAAGGACUGUAUGUAGGUUAAGAAGGCAAAAGGAUACAGAAGAGCUUUCAGAAAGAAUGACUGGGUUCAGGGAAAUUUUGUGACUCAGGGAAUGGGAUGCUGUUUUACUCAAGAGCAUGUGCAUGCUUCUAUGACAGUCAUAGACCAGGGAGAGCACUGGUUUUUGAAAGACAGGAAAGUAGGUUUUUAGCCGUUUGGGUGCUAAGAGCUGUCUUGACAUAGAAAACUGGGAAAAUAAAGCUACUUAUUAGAACUGGGGAAGCAACUUCAGGGAGGAGCUAUGGAACUCGAAAGGGCGGGUUUGAAGAGGAAGAUUAACUCCCUGGAACUGUCAAGCUCGAGCUAGAUGCUGAAAUAAAUAAAUAUGAAAGCAAUAGUUUGCAGCUACAAGACCUUACUGUCUCUCUUUGGUGCUACUCUGGAAGAAAAGCAUAGAAACCUCUCCGAGAAUAAAGGUUGCCUUUGUCACAUCUUAGUGGUAAAGUUUAAAAAACAGACAGUGCUGGCUCUUAGGCAGGCAGCAUAAAGAGCAGGGGGGAAGGACCUGUGCUGGCACAAUACCUCUUUUUGGUUGUGAAGUGGUAACUAUGAAAUGGUUCCUCAGUUUGGUUUAACUUCUUCUAAGAGAUAAACUGACCUAGUAGAGGGUGAAAGGAAAUUAAUAUAGUUCAUGACUGAGGACAUGUCUUUUUUUUGUAGGAGAUGAAGAAGUAAGCAGCAUACUUUUGAAUUUAGAACAAAUCUGAGUUCAAUGAACUGAUACCUGGAAGGCUGGUGACAUUCAUGCUUUACGCAGUGUAUUAAUUCAAAGGAAACCACUAGCAGCUUGUGGCCGGAAUAGGUGCUUUUGUCUUAAGUAAAUUAAUUCAUUAAAUUAACAAAUGAUGAGGCUACAACAAUAGAGCGAGGAAAUGAAGACAUGAUUAUGAGGGUCAGCAUAGUGUUGGCUAAGAUAAAGCACAGCACAGAUGGCUUUUCAGAGAUGACAGGCUAAAGGAUUGCUGAUAUGGAAGAUAUCUACAACAACUGAGAAGUGAAUUUAACAGUAGAGUCAUAUUGUUUUUCCAUGGCCUUGAACUUCCUUUUCUUAAGCAAUCAAAAUUUGGCAGAGAUUUUUAAUGGCACUUAUAUGUGCCUGUUAUGUUUCAUACUGCUUCUACUAGAAGAAUGCUUUUACUACAUCUAUUAAAAGGUUUAUAGUUUUGCACUUUUGCAUAAUUACAUCUGUCCCAUCAGAAAAAUUUCUAGGCUACCAGUUGCUGUCACUUACCAGGUGCUGUCACAGUAUAGUGACAGCAACUCUGAUUAGGUUCCACUAGUUAUUGAAAAUAAUGAAAAGUACCUGCAAAUCAAGAAGUAUCAUUGGUAUUUGUAGGGGUUUUUUUUAAAGCUCUGUAAGGACAGCUGAACUCUUCUGUUAAAGGAGCAAAUGCAGAUGAAAACUAAGCAUUACAGGAAAAUGUACUGUUGGUAGUAUUGGAGAUUUUAAAGUACAACAUUCAAAUUGUUAAUUUGCUAAAGGAGUUUACAACUCAUGCCACCUUGUUUUCAUGGAAGACUUCCAAACAAGUUUUCAACAAUCAUCUGAGCUGUAAGAUCAGCCUUGUAUCAUAUGAUGCGGGGAUAGAAAAAUCACAAGCUUGAAAAAAGGAAAUGCAGAGCUGCUGUACAAUUAACCAUUUCCUCUUUUAUAUUUUGUGCAUACAUCUGAAUAACGACUGACUGUAAAUUCCACUACUUCCCAUGGAAAACUAACACUAAAUUUAAAAGACAAUUUUUCUGCACCACGUUUGUUCCUGGCUUCUAUCACAUUUACUGAAUUUUCAUAUAUCUAUCUGUGCCUUAGGAGACCCACUCACCUUUACAAAAAUGUAGUUUUGAAAAUAAGCCUUAAGAACCUUCCAGACUCAGGGGUAGAAAAGGAAGGAAAAUCAAAACUAAGACAGGGUAUGUGCUGGAGAGAAGAGGGAGUCCUCCAAGAGACCAUAAAUUUCUCUUCAUUUUACCAACAUAUAGAUUCAUGUUGGUAAUCCACGCGGCUGCUGAAUCAUAGAUUUAUUUUACAAGUAACCUGUAGGUCUUACAAAUAAAAAUUCAGUGCUGUAAAAUCAUUGUAUGGGCACAUAAGACCUGAGUGAAUCACAUGCAUUUCAAAUCUUCUGGUCCUGGAGGUGAGCAGCACAGAAUCUGCAGAUAAAAGCAAUGCCAUCCAAAAUAUCAUCACUUUGGGGUCUGUGGAGACAGUGGUGGGGAUGUGAUGUGCUGGGGGCUAGAAUGUUAAUUUUCCACAUGUUCGGUGUUAAACAAGUCUAUAAAUCAAGGCUCCAGGAAUCAAUUUUUCCCAUGUUCAUUUUGGGGGACAGUAAGUGAAGCUUGUCUGCAUAACAUGUGAAUGAUUCAUACUUUAGGCAUUUUCACCAUGCCUAAGAUCUCACUUGUCUCUUCUCAAUACAACUCUAAGUUUUUGUACUGUAAGUCAAAAGCUUAUGAAAAGGACUUGGGAUGAUUUUGUGAUUUAUGAGAGGUAGCGACAAGCAUGGAAUGGAUGUGCUGUGACAUCUUCAGAAAAUAGUUGGUCACCUGUGACCACAGCAGACCCUUCCUGGUGAUUACAUUGUCCCUCCCAGUCCUUUUAUCUGUUUUUGUCCUGUGCCCACCAGUGCUAAAGGCUGUGAAAAGCUGGUGUCUGCUGUCUUUAGGGAAAUCUGUGGAUUUCAUACUUGACUCACAGACAUCUAUGUUGCACCACUGAUGAUGCUAAUUUACAAAGACAGUUAAUACUGAGGGCUAUCAGUCUAUCUACUGAUCAUAUGCAUUUGGAGACUAAGAAAACAUCUUCACAAGAUGAAAAGAAGCAGUUUCCACCAGUGUGACUCAGUCCUAAGUAUAUGAGGUUUUUGCUUCAUGGUUCAGCAUCUGUACUACUUGCUGCAUCUGAAGACAGUUAUCAACAGUCAAAAGUCAGCAAGAAAUCUCCCAGCAGCUUCAAGAGCAAAGAGAAAAGGUGCUGAACUACUAUGUAUCAUUCUCCCAAUUCAGGGUUAAGCAACACAGGCAAAAAGCAGCAACUACUCUUGCCCAUUUAAUACUCUGUGCCGAGAGAAUUUUUGCCUCCUGAUCUCUUAAUCUAGUUCUUGUCAGUGUUCUCCUUUCACUGAAAAAAAAUCCAAACCACAGACAAAUACAUAUCACACUUAGCAAUAUACUUAAAUGGAGAGAUGAAAAAAAUGUCACCUAUGGCUGCCCAUUUAUCAGCAUCUUUGUCAUUCUGAGAAAUAGAGAUGAAAAUUUAAAAAACACCAAUGCAUUUCAACUCUGCCAUUCCUAGGAUUAUUCUUUCUGUGCAUGCUUCUCUGCCUUGCAGGGUAAACACAUAAAGCAAUGAAUAGACAAGAAGCACUGCCAGCAAAAGAGAAUUUACAAAUCUUCAAACGAUGUUGGAUGUGAGUGGGCAGACCGUGACAAAAUGUUAACACUUCAUCAAAUCUAACUAGUUUGCCACUACAUAUUUAUGCUAUAAACUGUGAACUGGAGUUCCUCUGUGGGAGAGUAACCUAAAUGAAAUGACAAGAAGCAAAAAGACAACUGCUUUUGCAGCCCAUUCCCUGAUGUGCACUGAUAGAUACCAGACUCAGCCACCCCCUACACUUCUGUGCUCAGUCUCUCACAACUUGACUUUUUUCUGUGAAGGCUAAUUAAAAGGCAAAGGCAUUAGAUCAAUGAAACACAAGGAAAAUUGCUGAAAACAUGUUGAGAAUGGGCACUCCCAUGAAUGAGGCAAAGAGAGAGGAAUAUGUUUACAGUUCUUUCACUGCUCCAAAGAAAGUUCGCCAAGAUGCUACCAGAG